GCUCACUUCAGCAGCACAUAUACUAAAAUUGGAAUGAUACAGAGAAGAUUAGAAUGGACCUGUGUAAGGAUGACAUGCAAAUUCGUGAAGCAUUCCAUAUAUUU